ensembl:lncRNA
GAGAGUGAGAAUGUGAGUGUGAGAGAGUGAGAGAGAGAGAGAGACAGAGAGAGAGUGCGAGAGAGAGUGAUUGAGAGCGAGACAGAGAGAGAGAGAGUGUUGAGGGUUGAGGUAGACACCAGUCACAGAACCUGUGGGCUGGAACUGGCAGUAUUCCCUUUGCAAAUGAGUGUCCCUGUGUUUGUGAGACACGGGUACUGGUUAGGGGGGCUAAAGCAGAGAAAGAUGGUGAAUCGAACCCAGAACGAGCCAGAUAACUGUCAGUGCCGGAGGAGAGGAGUGUGGUGCAUUUUGUGCUGCAAGCCUUGUAGACAAGGCUAUAAAGAGGACACCCAGGUUAGAAUUAACACUAAAGAGGACACCCAGGUUAUAGUUAACACUAAAGAGGACACCCAGGUUAGAGUUAACACUAAAGAGAACACCCAGGUUAGAGAUAACACUAAAGAGGACACCCAGGUUAUAGUUAACACUAAAGAGGACACCCAGGUUAGAGUUAACACUAAAGAGGACACCCAGGUUAGAGUUAACACUAAAGAGGACACCCAGGUUAGAGUUAACACUAAAGAGGACACCCAGGUUAGAGUUAACACUAAAGAGGACACCCAGGU